rnacentral:rRNA from 1 species
UUUAGCAAGAAAACUACAAGCAAAGAGCCCUUUAGUUUGUAACCCCGAAACUGAGCGAGCUACUCCAAGACAGCCUAUGUAGGGCAAACCCGUCUCUGUGGCAAAAGAGUGGGGAGAGCUUUGAGUAGAGGUGACAAACCUACCGAGCUCAGUUAUAGCUGGUUGCCUGAGAAAUGAAUAGGAGUUCAGCCCUUUAAAUCUUCCCCCAUCACCCAUGCUUACGCUAAAAUUGAUUAAGGAAAUUAAAGGCGUUAAUUAAAAGGGGUACAGCCCUUUUAAUAGAAGAAACAACUUUAACAGGUGACCCAAGAUCAUAUUACCUAAGGAUUUCAAAUCAAGUGGGCCUAAAAGCAGCCAUCUUAACAGAAAGCGUUAAAGCUCAAAUUAACUAGUAUCCUCAUAUACUGAUAUUUCAUCUCCCUCCCUGCCCCUUACCAGGCUAUUUUAUGCCCUCAUAAGAAUAAUUAUGCUAAA